CCCUUUGGGUGUGACUGCGUACCUUUUGUAUAAUGGGUCAGCGACUUAUAUUCUGUAGCAAGGUUAACCGAAUAGGGGAGCCGGAGGGAAACCGAGUCUUAACCGGGCGUUAAGUUGCAGGGUAUAGACCCGAAACCCGGUGAUCUAGCCAUGGGCAGGUUGAAGGUUGGGUAACACUAACUGGAGGACCGAACCGACUAAUGUUGAAAAAUUAGCGGAUGACCUGUGGCUGGGGGUGAAAGGCCAAUCAAACCGGGAGAUAGCUGGUUCUCCCCGAAAGCUAUUUAGGUAGCGCCUCGUGAAUUCAUCUCCGGGGGUAGAGCACUGUUUCGGCUAGGGGGCCAUCCCGGCUUACCAACCCGAUGCAAACUGCGAAUACCGGAGAAUGUUAUCACGGGAGACACACGGCGGGUGCUAACGUCCGUCGUGAAGAGGGAAACAACCCAGACCGCCAGCUAAGGUCCCAAAGUCAUGGUUAAGUGGGAAACGAUGUGGGAAGGCCCAGACAGCCAGGAUGUUGGCUUAGAAGCAGCCAUCAUUUAAAGAAAGCGUAAUAGCUCACUGGUCGAGUCGGCCUGCGCGGAAGAUGUAACGGGGCUAAACCAUGCACCGAAGCUGCGGCAGCGACACUGUGU
rnacentral:rRNA from 1 species